rnacentral:lncRNA from 1 species
CUUCGACUUCUCAAAAACAAUGUGGCGCUUACAACAUACUAGGCUUACAUCAUACCCAUUCAAUUCUUUUAAAAUAACAUGUAAAUUAAAUGUAAAACUAUACACUAUUUUAAUACGUAGGUACAGUAUUUAUUAUAGUAGGUACAUUAAAAUUAUUAACUUAUAUUACUCAACGAGCAUGUAAUUAUGGCUAUUACUCACACUAAUGAAGUUUGCGACACGAGCAGUAGGCAAGUGUCUUAAUUAAUCAGAGUGAGAAAUAGCCAUUACAUGCAAGUAGAUUACUAUACUUUUUCCACGACCUUUUUUUAUUUUAUUUACUAAAAUAUAAUUAUCAACUAUCGAGAUUAAAAUUAUAAUUUACACAAACUUUAUUUACCAAUACAGAUAAUUGGUUGCUUACUGUUAACAAAAAUGCUGUCUUAAUUAUGUAUUGUAAACAAUAUAAGAAAUAGUCAAUUCAAGUUAUAUUCAUUUCCUAAAAAUUUUAGGUACAAAUUUGUACCUACUGUCAUUGUAAUACAUAGGAAAUGGCUAUUAUUGGUGGACAUAUUUUAUAAAGUUAUAAUGUACAUUUAUAACAUAAUAAUAUAAUAUGUAACUUUAUACAAUAGACACAAUAUAAGUUUUAAAUUCCAAUAAACACAGCAAAUAUGCUAAUGUCUCGUUUAUGUAUUUAUUUAUUCACUAAGUAACAACAGUAACUAGUACUGAGCUGGUAUCUGAUGUUAGUUGCGUCAUCUGAACAAUACCAAAGUUUCUUACAAUAUUCUCUCUCCUGCUUUUCGUAAGUAUAACUAAUGUCUAUUUGUUUGUUAUGAUUUCUUAUUUACUUAAUACGACCGUGAAUUGUUAACAACAACUUUCUGUCUACUUUGCGGUUUUUCGGUAUGUAGU